CACUUAGGGCUGUCACCUUCCACUCGUGAAGCUACAGAAAAAAGACCUGAUAUAGUCAUGAUCCAGUUCAAAAGGCAUCAAAAUUGUAAAUUGGAUUGAAAAAUGUCUCCUUGGACUGGCUUGAAAGUGAAACAAAGACUUUUGAAUGGAUAUAAUGUGAUGAUUAUGAUCCUCAAAUGAAGGGAAGUAAUAAUUUUUUUCCUAUUUAUCAGUUUUCCAAAAGAGCCUGGAGGUUUCACAGAGAUGUGCAGUUCAGCAGGGUGCAUGUUGGGAAAAGAAGAAACAAGACCAAAAAGUGCUCUGCUACCUUGUCGUCUCUCUUGGGAUCAUUGUAUUGUGCCUGCUGUGACAUUUAGGGCUCAGCUCCAUCACUUGGCUCCAGACGUGCAUUAAAUCCCGAACUGAAAAAA